UCUAAUAUGGCAGAUAAGUGCAAUGGAUUUAAGCUCCAUAUAUAAAGGUUAUUCCUUUUAUUAGAA
rnacentral:tRNA from 1 species